rnacentral:rRNA from 1 species
UACGUAGGGGGCGAGCGUUGUCCGGAAUUAUUGGGCGUAAAGAGCGUGUAGGCGGUUCGGUAAGUCUGCCGUGAAAACCUGGGGCUCAACCCCGGGCGUGCGGUGGAUACUGCCGGGCUAGAGGGUGGUAGAGGCGAGUGGAAUUCCCGGUGUAGCGGUGAAAUGCGCAGAUAUCAGGAGGAACACCGAUUGCGAAGGCAGCUCGCUGGGACGUAACUGACGCUGAGACGCGAAAGCGUGGGGAGCAAACAGG